CUGAAGAGUUUGAUCCUGGCUCAGAUUGAACGCUGGUGGCAUGCUUAACACAUGCAAGUCGAACGGUAACAGGUCUUCGGAUGCUGACGAGUGGCGGACGGGUGAGUAACGCGUAGGAAUCUGCCCAUCUGUGGGGGAUACCAGUUGGAAACGACUGUUAAUACCGCAUAAUAUCUGCGGAUUAAAGGUGGCCUUUGCGCUGCCGCAGAUGGAUGAGCCUGCGUUGGAUUAGCUAGUUGGUGGGGUAAGGGCCUACCAAGGCUACGAUCCAUAGCUGAUUUGAGAGGAUGAUCAGCCACAUUGGGACUGAGACACGGCCCAAACUCCUACGGGAGGCAGCAGUGGGGAAUAUUGGACAAUGGGGGAAACCCUGAUCCAGCAAUGCCAUGUGUGUGAAGAAGGCUCUAGGGUUGUAAAGCACUUUAGUUGGGGAGGAAAGCCUGUGAGUUAAUAGCUUGCAGGAAGGACGUUGCCCAAAGAAUAAGGACCGGCUAACUCCGUGCCAGCAGCCGCGGUAAUACGGGGGGUCCGAGCGUUAAUCGGAAUUACUGGGCGUAAAGGGUCUGUAGGUGGUUUGUUAAGUCAGAUGUGAAAGCCCAGGGCUCAACCUUGGAACUGCAUUUGAUACUGACAAACUAGAGUAUGGUAGAGGAAUAGGGAACUUCUGGUGUAGCGGUGAAAUGCGUAGAGAUCAGAAGGAACACCAAUGGCGAAGGCAACAUUCUGGACCAAUACUGACACUGAGGGACGAAAGCGUGGGGAUCAAACAGGAUUAGAUACCCUGGUAGUCCACGCUGUAAACGAUGAGUACUAGCUGUUGGAUUCGGUGUAAAGGAUCUAGUGGCGCAGCUAACGCGUUAAGUACUCCGCCUGGGGACUACGGCCGCAAGGCUAAAACUCAAAGGAAUUGACGGGGACCCGCACAAGCGGUGGAGCAUGUGGUUUAAUUCGAUGCAACGCGAAGAACCUUACCUGGUCUUGACAUCCUGCGAACUUUCUAGAGAUAGAUUGGUGCCUUCGGGAACGCAGUGACAGGUGCUGCACGGCUGUCGUCAGCUCGUGUUGUGAAAUGUUGGGUUAAGUCCCGCAACGAGCGCAACCCCUAUUGAUAGUUACCAUCAUUAAGUUGGGUACUCUAUUGAGACUGCCGCUGACAAGGCGGAGGAAGGUGGGGACGACGUCAAGUCAUCAUGGCCCUUACGACCAGGGCUACACACGUGCUACAAUGGGUAUUACAGAGGGCUGCGAAGGUGCGAGCUGGAGCGAAACUCAGAAAGGUACUCUUAGUCCGGAUUGCAGUCUGCAACUCGACUGCAUGAAGUCGGAAUCGCUAGUAAUCGCAGGUCAGAAUACUGCGGUGAAUACGUUCCCGGGUCUUGUACACACCGCCCGUCACACCAUGGGAGUGGGUUGCUCCAGAAGUAGAUAGCUUAACGAAUGGGCGUUUACCACGGAGUGAUUCAUAACUGGGGUGAAGUCGUAACAAGGUAGCCGUAGGGGAACCUGCGGCUGGAUCACCUCCUU
rnacentral:rRNA from 1 species